GGGGACUUAGCUCAGUGGUAGAGCGUUUGCCUAGCAAGCACAAGGUCCUGGGUUCGGUCCCCAGCUCCG
rnacentral:tRNA from 1 species